CUUUGAAUCUCUCUAGUGAAUUUUUCAUUUCAGUUAUUAUAACUUCUGGCUCCAGAAUUUCUUUUUGGCUUCUUAUUAGGUUUUCUAUCUCUUUAUUGAUAUUUCCAUUUUGCUCAUAGAUUACUUUCUUGACUUUCUCUACAUCUCCCUUUAGUUCUUUAAGCAUCUUUAAGACAAGUGUUUUAAGUCUUUUCUAGUAGAUUUGCCAUCAGGCUUUUUUCAGAGACAGUUUUUGUUGGUUUUUAAAAUUUUUUUAUUUUUUGAAUGGGCCAUGAUUUCUUGUUUCUUUGUAUGCCUUGUGAUUUUUUAUUGUUGAAAACUGGACAUUUGAAUCUAAUAAUGUGGUAACUUUGGAAAUCAUAUUCUCUCCCAUCCCCAGGACUUGAUGGAUUUGUUUGUUUUUUUUGUUUUAUUGUUGUAGGCUGUCUCUGCGCCACAGAUCAGCCUGAGAUGUAAACUUAAGGUCUCCUCAGGUCUUUUCUGGACCUGCAUCUUUCCCUGGAGAAGGACUGCGCAGACCGCAGGAACCUCAGGCAAGAGACCAUGAGAGCCUAAGGGCCAGGAAUCUGCAGAAAUUGUGGCAGGAGGUGAAGCCAAGACGGGGUCCUCUGACUUUCUACCACAAGAAAUCGGCCUGGAAAAAAAGUGAAGAUUUUUACUCAGAGUCCCUUCUCAGGACUUCCUGGAGAUCCUGGCUUCAGAGGCAACAGAAAACCAUUCUCCAAAGUGGGAGGAAGGGCUUGAGGUCAAGGGGGCAGCAGGAGAUCCUAAAGAUCUUUCUGCACUAGGUUGGGGUCCCAGGCUCUGCUCUCUCUCUUCCUCGCCCUCUUCAGCUGGAAUCUUUCCCAGCCUGCUCCCCCUGGUGAGUUUUCUGGUGGCGGAUGAGAUUGGAGCUGCGGGAGAAGUGCUUCCCGCACAGCGUGCACCGGUAGGGCUUCUCGCCCCUGUGGGUCCUCUGGUGCGCCCCAAAGUUGGAGAUGUCGCUGAAGGUCCGCCCGCACUCGGCACACUCAUAGGGCCGCUCACCUGUGUGGGUGCGGUGGUGCACGCCGAAGCUGGAGCUGUUGCUGAAGCUCUUCCCGCACUCGCAGCAGAUGUAGGGCGCCGGCUCCAGGUGGGUCCGGUAGUGCACGGCCAGCGCCGAGCUCUGGCUGAAGCUCUUGCCGCAGAUGUCGCAGCGGAAGGGCCACCUGCCCAGGUGGUCCUGCUGGUGCGUGGUGAGGUCCGAGUGCCGCCGGAAGCUCUCCUCGCAGUUGGGGCACUUAUAGUGCUUCUCCUCCAGGUGGAUGCGCUCGUGCCGGAUGCGGUUGGAGCUUCUCGAGAAGCUCUUGCCACACUCAGAACACUUGUAGGGUUUCUCGCCUGUGUGGAUCCGCUGGUGUGUUCUCAGGUUGGAGGUAUUAUUGAAGGUUUUGCCACACUGGGCACAUAUAAAGGGCUUCUCAUCAGCCUCGUGCCUCGGAUGAGCAGAGAGGUCCUCUGGCUCUCCAGCGGGGACAGUGACGUCCUGCGGUGGCUUCUCUGGAUAGAGCCCUUGUGGCCCCUCUGGCAGGCUUGCUUGCCCAUGCUCUUUCUCCCCAUCUGGGAUCCAAGAACCCUCUGAGUCAUCCACUCUCCAUGGCUUAUUACCCCGUUCCCCUUCCUCAGGCAGGUGCCGUUCUGGGCUCUGCUCCUUCUCACUGCCCAUCUCUGAACCCUGAGAAUGAACACAAAUGGCCAACACCUUUAUUCCUUGGGUCAGGCCAGACCCCAGGGAAUCUUUCGUCCUGGUUGAAGGGUUGGGUAUACACCAUCCCUUUGGAACCAUCCGUCAGAAAUAACCUCAAUUAACUGGAAUACUCGGAUAGAAUGCCUUUACUUACUGUCAAGUGACAAACUUCCACAGAUAUUUAAAGCUACCCACCAGAGCAAAAAGAAGGCCUCAGCUUUGUCCAGCCCCAAAAGAUAUUUGUAUGAUGUGCACAAUGUCACUUUUCUUAAUACCACAGUCUAGACUCGAAUUCACCUACAAGUAAAGGAGCUUCCAUUUGGGGAUGCGUUCGAUUUUUCUGCCUAACUGUUAAGUUAACUGAAAUUCCCAUUAUGUUUAAUCGUUUCUGAAAAGCCUUCCUUAAAAGCAUCCACCUAUUUGCCUGUUUUCAAAAUGAAGAGAACAGAAUCUCUAAUUCUUGAGGCUCUCCUACUCGGUUACAAGGCCCAGCUCUGAAUCCUCUUACGUGUACACUCCUUCCCUUCCCCAGACCUCACCACAGUCUAGCAAAUAAAGGCUUAACAUCGGGGUCCUCCAAGACCCACUGAGGGCCUAGGCUGUGUCUGUUCUGAUUGGUCAGUACCCACUUCCACUCAAACACCACACACAGCAGUGCAUACACAGACAGUCUCACACAUAGACUCACACCACACACAGCCAUACUCACAUACCAACACACUCAGCCACUCUCACAACACACAUACGUAUCACGCAGUCACACAUACACAGUCACACGCAUACAUACCACACACAACCCUCCCACACACAGAGCCACAUUCAUGGCUAUCCAAUUACACACCAUACACACAUCCAGCUAUACUCACACACCACACACAGUCUCCCAAACACACAUUCCCUGCCCCCCACACACAGAGUGCCCAACACAGGGCCUACUUAUGCAAACAUCAGCAAAUGCUUGCUAAGCUGCACAGACUCCUUUGAGUUCUGACAGCCAAGGACAGGGAAUGAGGGGAAGAAAGUACUGAUAAGAGGAGAGUGGUAGUUCCUCUGAACCUUGAAGAAGUAACAGCAUUUCAAAAGGCAGCAUGGGCUGGUGGAGAUACUGUACAGAGUGACAUGAACAAAGGGAUGAGGGAGGGAAGCACAAUGAUGGGGCACUGAUGAUGGAAAAUGAAAGCUUCAUAACUGCUCCAGGUGGGGUCUGGUAAUGGAAGGGACACCGACUGAAUUUAGGGUUGGAUCCCUAUAGUGACACAUACAGUCCUUACAACUCUGCAAAUUACUCAACCACUCUGAGCCUCAACUUCCACAUCACUAAAAUUGUGAUACCAACAGACACAGCAGGACUUUGUUAGAGAAAAUGCCUAUAAUAUGCCCAGUGUAAAGUGUGGCAGUACUAGUCAUUCAGUACAUGACAGCUGCUACUACAACUGUUGAAGACGCUACAUGCUAGCCCUGUGAAGAAGGCAAGUAUGAAAAAGAUCCCUUACAUGAUCUUGUUGGGAAACAAAAAAAAUUCAAUUAAAAAAUGGUACAGUACAUAUAAUCUAAAAUGUGAAAUAUGGACAGUACCUUAAAUCUUUAAGGAGUGGGAGGUCAGCAAACUUUCUGUAAAGGACCAGAGAGUAUAUGUUUAGUAAAUUUUGGGGGCCAUAGGAUCUCUGUUGCAGCUACUCAACUCUGCCAUUGUAUCAUAAAGCAGCCAUAGAAAAUCUGUAAAUGAUUGGGUGUGUCUGUUUUCAUAAAACUUUAUUUAAAAGCAGGGCAGGGAUAAAGAUGUAGACAUAGAGAAUGGACUUGAGGACACGGGGUGGGACGGGGAAGCUGGGGCGAAGUGAGAGUAGCAUUGACAUAUAUACACUACCAAAUGUAAAAUAGUUAGCUAGUGGGAAGCAGCAUCAUAGCACAGGGAGAUCAGCUCGGUGCUUUGCA